rnacentral:tRNA from 1 species
CGCUAAGAAGCUAAAUGGUAAACAGCGUUAGCCUUUUAAGCUAAAGAAUGGUGACUACCAACCACCCUUAGC